AUGUCUUUGAACCUGUGGUCCUCUAUAUGGCUCUAUUGGCCAAGCUGCAGUUACAACAGCAAAUAAAAUGCUUGUUAUAACUGGGGUUACUUGGCAUUGCAUCAAGGUUUCUCUUUAAAAGCAACUCAGCU
rnacentral:snoRNA from 1 species